CAGGAUCCUUCUGGACAGAAUGUCCAGCACACAGCUGGAUAAACACAUCAUGCAGUGUGUGAGGAACUGGCUCACAGUAUGUCUGUGAAUCUGUGUGGACUGUUCAAAAAGAUGGACCCUGUUCCAUGCAAGAGACAAAGACCUGAAUUAGUAUUCAUUAAACCCUCCAGUAUUCAGAACAUCUGAUGCUAUUUGAAACUGGAGCAACCGGAAUAACUUACUGCCUUCCCUGCUGAAGCAGACACACACUACAAAGACUUCUCUGGGCUCAGAGGAGAGUCAGAGUAAGCCUAGUUUAAAGCAGUAGGGAAACCUGAAAUCUCAUGACUGCUUCACAGGCUUAUUGUAUUUUAUACAAUGAUAUUUCCUUCUAAGUUCACAGUUAAUAGACACUGAAGUUAAAGCUCUGGAUACCACAGACAGGGCUGACACUGCUUCUUUCCUUUCUCCCUUUCUCCCCUGUCCUACCUUGAAAAUCGGAACAUUUGAAAUUUCCCAUUUUAUGACCCUAUUUAACAAGCUUUUAAUUCUGUCAGACUUCAAGUAUAUGGAUUGAAUUUCUUUACACAGUCAGCCUUUUGUGUCAGGGAAAGGCAUUUACCUCUUCCUGUGCAAGCAUUUAAAAAAUUUGCUUUCAAAUUGCCGUGGUUUGUAUACAAUCUACAGUGGAUUUAGCAGCUGGUAUCUCUGAAGAGCCAUUCCUCAGUGUCUCUGCUAGAUCAUCACUAUCCUGUAUGCCUCUUGAACAUCAGACAUGGGCCAGCUUUGAAGAAAGACUGAACAGGUUUCAAUCCAAGGGCUGUGCUGCAGUGGAACCUCACAGAGAAGGCAGAGAGAAACCGCCUGACUUUAGGUCAGAGAAGACCAAAGCUACACUGGUGUGAAAUUAUUUGGAACAGAAUCAGGCAGGAAAUUUGUUGGUAAAAACAUGGAAAAAACCAGGAGCAAUCACUCCCAUGGUCUAGGGUUACCUGUGUAGGGACGAGGGUUGUGCAAUGGCCAUGUACAUGGGGGUGUAGGGAGGUACUAACCCCAUAAACUCCUGACUCCUGAGUUAGGAACAGCACUAAAGGGAAGGCUGGGACAAGCUGGAAAACAUGUGUCACAGAUGAGGACUGCAAGAGAUUUUACUUCAGCUUGAAGCAGAAAACCAGCCCAUGGUCCUAGAGCAGCUGAGACUAGAUGAAAGGAGAUGAGAUGGACCCCGGGGAGAAAGAAAAUCUGACUUCAUGCAAGAAAAUGCUUGAAGGAAAAGGCAGCUAUCCAAAUGGGCAGGGAAUGAGAAAGAAAUGCCAGAAAUACAUCAAAGAGUGGAACCUGGGAAAUUAAGUCUUGUGUUUUCAUCCAUGUCCUUCAGGAAGGAGUGAGACAAGUUGGGUGAGAUUGGGAACAGAUAUUUCCACUCUCCCUUGGUGAGACAGCCAAUGCUUUACUUCUACCCUCUUUCUCUCUCCUUUCUUCUCUCAGCAGACUAAGUCAUGUAUCUAGUCAUGUAAAAUCUGGAAAACCUUUCAGGUUUUCUAGAUUUUGUAAUGCCUGUAAAGGAUUGUUAUUUCCUGCUUGAACAGGGUCUUACAUUUUUUGCAAGCCUAGUAUCGUCACAGAUGGAAAGUCUGACUCCCAGGAUGCCAGAAUUAUGCCAAUAUGAUCCUUUCAAAUCAAAUACCUUGUCAGGGUGAAGUAUAGCUUCUUUUUUUAUUUAUAUCUGGUAUCUGUUCCCUCAUGAAUGACUUCUUACUCAUCCUAAGCCUUAUUAUUUGAAUUUUGCCAGCUCAGGAAAAGGUCCCAUCAAAAAACUCUGUGUCAUCUUCAGUUCUACACACUGAUCAUGGAAAAGUCAAUGGAGAGGAAAGAAUGGAUUAUAUCUAUCAGAAAACUGACAGGAGGAUCAUGACAAAAGUGACAAACACGGAGUUUUCAAAGAGCAGGGAGACAUAGCCUAGGCAGCAUUGCUGGGAUCACAGAUGUCAAAUCUUUCUCACUCGGCUCAUUUUUUUACGGUGUGUAGACUUGUUAAACCUACAUGUGAAAAAGAACCUAGAUUUGUCUUUCUAUUUCAAAGGUCCUGUCACAUUCCAGUUUUUAACCUUACCUGUGUUUCAUACACUAAAAACAUUUUGUAAAACUCAGCAAGCCAGUAAAUUUGUUAAUUAAUUUUUUCAACUAUAGCAUAAAAUUCAGGGAACAAUGUAUAAGACUCUGUAUAAAUAUGUUCCUAUGUGGCAGUAGAUGUAUUCUUGUAUAAUGUAUAUGUGUAUAAUGGUCAGUUGCAGUCCAAAGUAUGAAAUAGUGAUUAUUUUUGCCCCUACACACAAAAGACCCAAAAAGUAUUUUUAAUUGGUUUCAAUAUUUCAUAGAAUUGUACUAUCAUAGAAUUCCCAGGUUGAAGGGACUUCAUUUAACAUGUGGCCCAACCUUUGUUGGCAAGAAGAGUAUAGGCAAUAUGACCCAACACCCUGUCCACCUGAAUCUUAAAAGUGACCAACUUUGGGGAAUUCACUUCCUACAAUGGAAAGAUUAUUCCAGUGACUGUUUGUUCUUAUUAUGAAAAUUUUCCUUUUGUUCAAUCAUAAUCUCCUCAGGAGGAACUUGUACCAUCACCCAUUAUCUUUCCCAUAUGACUUCUUGAGAAAAAUAAGUCUCCAUCUUCUUUGUAGACACCCUUUACAUGAUGGAGCAUGGUAAGGUGUCAUUUAAUCUCCUUUUCUCCAAGGUGGACAAAGCCAGUUCUCUCAGCCUUCCCUCACAUGGGCAGGCUUCCCACUAAUUUGGUCAUCUUUAUUACCCUUUAAUGCAUUUUCUCUGCCCUGUCCACAUCUUCCUUGUAUAGCAGGGACCAAAACGGAACACAGCAUUCAAGGAAUGGCCUGGACAGCUCUGUGUAAGAUGCAAUAGUGAUUUAUCACUCUUGGUGACACCCUCGUUGAUGAAACCCAGAAUUUGUAUUGGCUUUCUUUGCUGCAGCAGCAAAUUGUUCAUUCACACUGAACUGCUGUCCACCAGCACCCUCAGGUCCUUUUCCACAGAGCUGCUCCCUAGCCAGGUGGAUCCACAGCCUGUGCUGCUCUCCUGGAUUAUGUUUCUCCAUGUGCAGGUCCUUAUUGAACUUCAUAAGACUCUUGUUAGCCUAAUUUUCCAUCCUGUCCAGGUCAUCCUGCAGGCUGGCUCUCCCUUCCAAAGUGUCCACUGCCUCAGUCAGUUUGGUAUCACUGACAAACUUCAUCUGGGUACACUUGAUCCCAUAAUCCAAACCACUGAGGAAGGUACUAAACAGCCUUGAGCCCAGUAUCAUUCCCUGGGGGACUCCACUUGAGGCAGUUGCCAGGGUGAGAGGGAGUAAUUUACCACUACCUUCCAGGGCAGCCAAUUUCCAACCCACUGCAUGGAUCACACAUCCACACCAUCAGAUACACAUUUCUGUAGAAGGAGGCCAUGGGAAACCAUAUCAAAAGCCUUGGAGAUAUCCAGGUAGACAAUGUCCACUGCAGGCCCCACAUCAGCCAAGCAGGUUCAUUUGUUGUAAGAGGCAAUCAUCAGGUUUGUCAAGCAAAAUUUGUCCUUUGUCAAUCUGUGCUGGCUUUUCUUAAUCAUGGGCUCCAUUUGACAGAAGGGCCUAUAAUUUCAUUCUGGGUACGGGUGAUUCUAGCCUUCUUCCAGUCUUUUGGGAUGUCUCCCUGAUCUUCACGACUUCUGAAAGACAAGUUUAAAUGACCACUGACAGUGAAUUAUUCUCAAAUCUGACUACUUUGCAUAUGAAAAUUUUCUUGUUGUUUUCACAACCCCCUACAAUUUUCUUUAAAUAAAAUGUUUUGGUAAA